UACGUAGGGGGCAGGCGUUAAUCGGAAUUACUGGGCGUAAAGCGUGCGUAGACGGUUGAGUAAGUCAGAUGUGAAAGCCCCGGGCUCAACCUGGGAAUUGCAUUUGAGACUGCGUAGCUAGGGUGCGGAAGAGGGAAGCGGAAUUUCCGGUGUAGCGGUGAAAUGCGUAGAUAUCGGAAGGAACACCAGUGGCGAAGGCGGCUCUCUGGUCCACAACUGACGCUGAGGUGCGAAAGCUAGGGGAGCAAACGGG
rnacentral:rRNA from 1 species